CUUUGAAGGUUUAAAACCCUUGUUAAAGAACAGGGAGACACUGGAAAAGAAAACAGCACAGGAGAAGAAUCGAAAUCGAGUUCUGUCUCUUGCUGUGAGUUUGUCAGCAUGCCCUUCCCUUGUGGGCUGCUCUCUUUCCCGCUGGCAGCUCUUCCAGCGUGUGAGGGGCCCAGCUUCUGUGUUUUGCUUUGCUCUUUUGAAGAGGUGGAGAAAAACCUUUAUUACACCAGUGGGCUCAGAGGAGUUUGUACUCGGAGUCUGAGCCUGUGAUUAUUAUUUAGUUAUUUAUUUAUGUAUUUAGUUAUUUAUUUAUUGCAGUACUGGGGAUUGAACUCAGGACCUUGCGCUUGUGAGACAGGUGUGGCGCCACUGAGCUAAAUCCCCAGCCUAUUUUUUUUAUUUUUUGAGACAGGGUCUCACAAUGUAGCCCAGGCUGGCCUUGAACUCACAGUGCUCCUCCUGCCUCAGCCUCCUGAGAGCUGGGAUCACAGGCUGCACCAGCCCACUCAGCUUCAUGUAGCUCCUUGUCCGAGUCAGCUACCUGGAUCUGAGCUGUGCGGGCCAGACUGUUCUCUCCCCCAGCCAGCCUAGGUCAGAAAGCAAGCACAGCAGGUACUGAGAGGCUGAGGAACUGUGGCUGAGGGACUUGGAGCCCGGAAGCAGAAGCGGGAUGUUUUAAGUGUUUUUAAAUAGUGUUUAGUGCGAUUGCAUAGUUUUUCUACUGGCCUUUUGUGAUGGAAAUGAGAAUCACAAUGCUGCUGUACGUCAGCUUUGUUCUCUGGGGCACCCCUGGGACCCAUGCUGAGGUCAUAGCCAGGUCUGCAGUGGCAGCAGAGAAACCUGUGGCGCCUCGCUCAUGGUGCCCUGUGCAGGUCACAGGCACACAAAGCCAUGGGAGAGAGAAAGGGGUCCGGGACACACAGACGUCCCCCCAAAGCCUCGUGUGGUCGUAGCUUGCUGCUUUCUGCCUGCCAUGGACUGUUUCUCCUCUGUGACGCCCCUCUGCCCUGCCACUCUGCCUUGGAGCCAGCCGACUACAACUGAAACCUCUACAGACUCUGAGCUAAAUAAACCUCUCCUUCUUUAACUUUGGAUGCCGGGUAUUUUGUGUCAACAGCUAGAAAAGUGACUAAACAGGAGUGGUAUCAUCAUUCACAGUUGUGCUGCUGGUCCUUGAGUUUGCCUCUGGCAGAGACUCAAAACUCC
rnacentral:lncRNA from 1 species